UACGUAGGGGGCUAGCGUUGUCCGGAUUUAUUGGGCGUAAAGAGCGUGUAGGCGGCCAGGUAGGUCCGUUGUGAAAACUCGAGGCUUAACCUCGAGAUGCCGACGGAAACCAUCUGGCUAGAGUCCGGAAGAGGAGAGUGGAAUUCCCGGUGUAGCGGUGAAAUGCGCAGAUAUCGGGAAGAACACCUAUGGCGAAGGCAGCUCUCUGGGACGGUACUGACGCCGAGACGCGAAAGCGUGGGGAGCGAACAGG
rnacentral:rRNA from 1 species